AUUGAACGCUGGCGGCAGGCCUAACACAUGCAAGUCGAGCGAGCGGCGGACGGGUGAGUAAUGUAUGGGGACUGCCCGAUAGAGGGGGAUCACUACUGGAAACGGUAGCAACUCCCGCAUACUAUCGGAUAACACCGAUGGGAGUAGCUAGUAGGUGAGGUAAUGGCUUACCUAGGCGACGAUCCCUAGUUGGUCUGAGAGGAUGAUCAGCCACACUGGGACUGAGACACGGCCCAGACGCCUACGGAGGCAGCAGUGGGGAAUAUUGCACAAUGGGCGCAAGCCUGAUGCAGCCAUGCCGCGUGUAUGAAGAAGGCCCUAGGGUUGUAAAGUACUUUCAGUCGGGAGGCGUUACCGACAGAAGAAGCACCGGCUAACUCCGUGCCAGCAGCCGCGGUAAUUC
rnacentral:rRNA from 1 species